rnacentral:ncRNA from 1 species
AAUAUUGCGUUGAAGGUUAUAGUAGCGGAACGAUUCCCUGUUGAAGAGAGCUGACGGCCGGUGCGAGUCAGUAUACAGUUGUUUUGCCAAUUACAAGCUGGAGCUUCUCCUGUUCAAGCAGGAGACGGAUGUAUAUCCGUUAGCAAACCGAGUGGCAGUUUACACUGCAACAAGGGUGGUACCGCGAGUUAUUCCUCGUCCCUUUU